rnacentral:lncRNA from 1 species
GUGGUAGAAGGCUGUGUAUGGGGUGGGUGGUAGAAGGUGGGAUGUGUGGUAGAAGGCAGUAUUUGGGGUGUGUGGUAGAAGGCUGUGUGUGGGGAUGUGGGGUGUGUGGUAGAAGGCUGUGUGUGGGGUGUGUGGUAGAAGGCUGUGUAUGUGGGGUGUGUGGUAGAAGGCUGUGUGUGUGUGGAGGAACAAAGGAACAUGGAGGAACAAAGUGUUACACAACACACAUUUGUCUGUUCUUGCUCAUUUGGCUAGCUAAGAUACUAACCUGCCAAUACCUGAACACACUUUCUAUGUAUUCAGCAUCCAUUUACUGAUCUGAUUAAAACACAAUGUCUAUGUAUUCAUCAUCAUUAAAACAUCUUAUUAAAACACACAGUCCUUUCAGUGCUCCUAUGUAUGACUAACAGUAGGCUUAACAGUCAUUCCAUUGAUUUAAUCAUACACUCCUCCUCAUGGGGACAUGGGAAAUGACCCCACGAGAGGGAAUGUUCCUGGUUUUACUAUCCUUUGGGGACUUUUGGGUAUUUCCGGUACCCAUGAGGAUACUGUUAAAGGAGGGGUGGGGAAGCUUUUCACUGGGACACAGAGAGGAGUUUCUUCCAGUAACACACUGAGCCCAGUGUCAGCCAGGAGGGGUGCGGGUGGUUAAGUGUGAGUAAUGCAUUAUCAGGAGGAAAAAGGUGUGUGUGUGUGUUAGCGAUGAUAAUGCAUUACACGCACACACUUAGAGAGAGACCUCUGUAACAUUCACUGUUUUGCUAGGAGUCCCCUCAUCUUUCU